rnacentral:tRNA from 1 species
GGAGAUCUAGCUCAGUGGCAUAAGCACCUGCCUUGCAGGCAGGUGGUUGUAAGUUCGAUCUCUG